AAGGAGAGUGAAAGUGCAUGGGAAUAGGCAUGAGGGAUAGCUCAUGUUAGUCCAACUCGGAACACGUAACCGCGGACAAACAGCUUCCAAUUACACACGCUGUCUCAAUCAGGGUGUCACGAGUGUUCAUUACGUAACUAAUCUCGCUGUUCGUCGGACCAUCACCUUUUUCUCACACACACAAUCUCUCUCACUCCGCGUAUGAAACUUUGAUUGGAAGAAACUGGUGAUUUGUUGUCAAUUUCUUCUCUCUCUCUCUGCAACUAUCUUCCUCUCUCACAGAUCAUGGAGACGACUCUGCUCAGUGGAGAAAACAGUGGGACUGUCAAUCGCCGGAGAGAGCCGUCUACUCGGUCUCAUGCUAUUGCUCACGGCUCGCCUUAUGAAAAGGCUGCCGCACUGGUUGAUCUGGCUGAAGAUGGAAUUGGUCUACCUGAACAAAUUCUUGAUCAAUCAAACUUCCAGAAUGCUGCAAAAUUCUACUUCAUAUUUACUCGGCUUGAUUUCAUUUGGUUCCUUAAUUAUUUUGCAUUAAUAAUCCUAAAUUUCUUAGAGAAACCUUUAUGGUGUACCAACUAUUUCAAGUAUUCUUGCAACAAUAGGGAGUACUUUUAUCUUGGGCAGUUGCCCUACUUAACUGGUGCGGCGUCUCUUAUAUAUGAGGCCACAACUCUCAUCAUACUCAUCGUACAUACUUUCUUUCCAUUAUCAUUUGAAGGUUACCAUCUCUAUUGGAAAAGUCCCCUUAAUCGAGUAAAGGUGGCUUGCUUGUUACUCUUGGUUGCUGAUAUAUUGGUUUAUGCCCUCUGCUGGUCUCUCGAAGCCUAUGAUUUUCCUUCUUUUAGAAUCUCACCAUAUAUCAGAGUCGUGUUUUUCAUGCUGAACUUUAGGGAAUUAAGAGCAACCAUCAUAAUCCUGGCUGGAAUGCUUGGCACAUUCUUAAAUAUCUUGGCUUUAGGUCUAUUGUUUCUUCUGUUUUCGAGUUGGUUAGCCUUUGUAAUGUUUGAAGAUACCCAACAGGGAAAGACAGUAUUUACUUCAUAUGGCACUACUCUGUAUCAGAUGUUUGUUCUGUUCACCACAGCCAACAAUCCAGAUGUCUGGAUUCCUGCAUACAAGGCUUCGCGUUGGUAUUGUCUGUUUUUUGUUCUCUAUAUGCUAUUGGGGGUUUACUUUGUCACCAGCUUGAUCCUUGCUGUCGUAUAUGACAGCUUCAAAAGUCAGCUUGUGAAACAAGUUUCUGAGAUGGAUUCUACGAGGAGGCGUGUAUUGGGGAAAGCAUUCAAUCUCAUAGAUAAACAUAAUCGUGGAUUUAUUGACAAAGAGCAAUGUGUUCAACUGUUUCAGGAACUAAAUAAGUACAGGACUUUGCCUAAUAUAUCAGCGGAAGAAUUUGAAUUGAUUUUUGAUGAGCUGGAUGAUAGUCAAGACUUCAAGAUCAACUCGGAUGAAUUUGCUGACCUUUGCAAUGCCAUUGCUCUAAAAUUCCGGAAGGAAGAAUCUAUAUCUUACUUUGAAAAAUGUCCAUUCUACCAUUCACCCUUCUCUGAAAAAUUGAAAAGCUAUGUACGGAGUCCCAUAUUUGGUUACAUUGUAUCCUUCAUUCUUGUGCUGAAUCUGUUGGCUGUUAUUGUUGAAACAACGCUUGAUAUUGAAAACAAUUCUGCUCAAAAGGUGUGGCAAGAGGUUGAGUUUGUCUUUGGGUGGAUAUAUGUAUUCGAAAUGGCUCUAAAAGUCUAUUCAUUUGGAUUUGAAAAUUAUUGGAGGGAUGGUCAAAACCGUUUUGAUUUUCUCAUCACAUGGGUAAUAGUUAUUGGAGAAACCUUAACUUUUGUGACCCCUGAUGGACUAGCAUUUUUUUCCAAUGGAGAAUGGAUUCGCUACCUUCUCCUUGCAAGAAUGUUAAGGUUGAUAAGGCUACUGAUGUAUGUUCAGCGUUACCGUGCCUUCAUUGCCACUUUCAUAACCCUUAUACCAAGCUUGAUGCCAUACCUUGGGACCAUAUUUUGUGUCCUUUGUAUUUAUUGUUCUCUUGGUGUGCAGAUCUUUGGUGGAAUUGUCAAUGAUGGAAAUGCCAGUUUGGAAGGAACAGAACUUGCUGAUGACGAUUAUUUACUGUUCAAUUUCAACGACUAUCCAAAUGGGAUGGUGACACUUUUUAAUCUACUAGUUUUGGGAAAUUGGCAAAUAUGGAUGCAGAGCUACAAGGAAUUAACCGGAACGUCAUGGACACUCGCUUAUUUUGUCAGCUUUUACUUAAUAACAGUGUUACUGCUCUUGAAUUUGAUUAUAGCUUUUGUCUUGGAGGCAUUCUUUGCUGAAACGGAUCUUGAGUUAUCAGAAAACUGUAAUGAGCAGGACAAGGAAGUGGAUGGAGGAAAGGGGCGCCGACGAUCUGUGGGCACAAAAUCACGAAGCCAAAGGGUUGAUGCUCUUCUUCAUCAUAUGUUGAGUGCAGAGCUCGAACAACCUGAGUCUUCUAAUCCAUAGGUGCUAUUCAAGAUAGGAGCAGACACCCUCAACCCAAGGCUGAAUAUCUAAGCACCGUCACCAAACACGCCCUCAGUUUCAAUAUUAUUGGCAAAGGUGGCACUACUGGCAACCUCUGGCGACGGGAAAGUCACCGGAUAGUACAGAAGAUCGUGAGCUCAAAUCUGGCAGCCAUUACCUCAUAUGAUGCUGGAAACAACGUCAACCCAAGUGUUGCGCUAGAAAAAUCCGUUCCAACCACACCCAACGGCACCGUUGCACCACCAAUCGCCACAGAAAGUGUUGCGGCAACCACAAUUGACCCAUACCAACUGAAAACUGACGGUGUCAAACAACCACCACCCGGAAGAAACUCAGUUUGUUUCUUUUCUUUUUCUUUCUGAUAUAUGCAAUCAAACGGACAAAAUCAAAUGGAAUCAGCAACAAUCUAGAAAGCACACUCUGAUACCAUGUUGUAAAACAUGAUAUUUCCCCCUCUUUGCGAUCUUUAUUGAUUUGUGAAGCAAAAAUUAAAGAGGUGCUGGAACUGACUUCUCGUGGUGAAAAGGAGCAAUGUAAUAGCUUCAAGCAGUGUGCCAUGCACACGCCAAAGAGACCCUUUUUCAUGGAAUUUGUAUGGGACGAGGAAUACAUAUAUAGAUGCUACUAAUUUUUCAGUCUGGUUGAAGUCUGUGAGUAUGCAUAUUUUAUGUUCUCCCAUAGCACUACCAAUACAGUUUUUGUUAGAUUUGUAUUUGUUAUCGUAGCCCUAUUGGUGGCACGUGAAAAUUAACGGACGGAUGUUGGAACAUUUAUCAGCGGAAGAAUGUCUCAUAAUUUCUCAUAAUUUCUAGAAUAGUCUGCUUUAAUAUUUGAUUGAAGUUAAA